AACACAUGCAAGUCGAGCGAUCUUCUUCGGAAGGGAGCGGCGGACGGGUGAGUAACGCGUGGGUAACCUGCCCUGUACACACGGAUAACAUACCGAAAGGUAUGCUAAUACGGGAUAACAUAAGAAAGUCGCAUGGAUUUCUUAUCAAAGCUUUUGCGGUACAGGAUGGACCCGCGUCUGAUUAGCUAGUUGGUAAGGUAACGGCUUACCAAGGCGACGAUCAGUAGCCGACCUGAGAGGGUGAUCGGCCACAUUGGAACUGAGACACGGUCCAAACUCCUACGGGAGGCAGCAGUGGGGAAUAUUGCACAAUGGGCGAAAGCCUGAUGCAGCAACGCCGCGUGAGCGAUGAAGGCCUUCGGGUCGUAAAGCUCUGUCCUCAAGGAAGAUAAUGACGGUACUUGAGGAGGAAGCCCCGGCUAACUACGUGCCAGCAGCCGCGGUAAUACGUAGGGGGCUAGCGUUAUCCGGAAUUACUGGGCGUAAAGGGUGCGUAGGCGGUCUUUCAAGUCAGAAGUGAAAGGCUACGGCUCAACCGUAGUAAGCUUUUGAAACUGUAAGACUUGAGUGCAGGAGAGGAGAGUGGAAUUCCUAGUGUAGCGGUGAAAUGCGUAGAUAUUAGGAGGAACACCAGUUGCGAAGGCGGCUCUCUGGACUGU
rnacentral:rRNA from 1 species